UUGAGUGCUUGUUUCUUGGUUUUCUUCUUUCUCACUCUCACAUCCUCUUCUCUUCUUAUUCCUUUCUACUCUUUGGAGAUUAAAGGUUGGGUUCGAAUGAUCUCUUGGACUUGAUAAAGGGGCUUAAAGAUCGAUCCAUUCUUUAGUCAAGGUGGUGAAUGUGGCUUGAGGGAAGGAGCCAGCGGCGGAGUAACACCCUUGUGGAGUUAAUCUCCUAAGUUGGUUUUAAUGGUGACCGGGCGGAUCUUUGCUCUACUACAGUAGACGGUCUUCACGACCAGCCUUGUGAGGUGGCUUGAAGACUUGAGUUUGUUGUCCAGUUCAGGUGUCACAUAGAAUCCUGAUUGGAUCCACAUCGGGAAUCUGGAGUUACCACAUGGAUUCUCAGUGGGCUAACGUCAAGAAUCAAGAUUAUGAAAACCUUGAUUACUCUCAACCUAGUCACGACGACAGCUAAGCUAGAGAGUGUCUUUAGGCUAUUGCUCAGUUCUUCGAGAUGAAAUAUUCAUAUUUGAGAAAGUUAUGGUUUUUAUGCAAACGAUAUUUUCGAGAUGUGAUAUCUUGUAUAUUCUUUGGAAAGAUUGUUGUUAUCUUGGAUUAUGAUGAGGGGGUGAAGCCCACCUGUCAUUCUAGAAGGGGUAGUCUCUCACAAUAUUUUAUUCUUUGAAAAAUUCAUUUGAUGAUGAGUUUUAUGUCUUAAUGUUUUCAAACUCAUGUUACGCAAAAUUUGGUAUUGGUGAUAGUUGGGAUCUUUAUUGAUCAA